GAUGAACGCUGGCGGCGUGCCUAACACAUGCAAGUCGAACGGAGUCCAGCCUUUAAGACCUUCGGGUCAAAGAGGGGAAGACUGAGUGGCGGACGGGUGAGUAACACGUGGGCAACCUGGCUCAUAGAGGGGGAUAACAGAGAGAAAUUUCUGCUAAUACCGCAUAAGCACACACUGCCGCAUGGCAGAGGGUGAAAAGAGAAUCGCUAUGAGAUGGACCCGCGUCUGAUUAGCCAGUUGGCAGGGUAAGAGCCUACCAAAGCGACGAUCAGUAGCCGAUCUGAGAGGAUGAACGGCCACAUUGGGACUGAGACACGGCCCAAACUCCUACGGGAGGCAGCAGUGGGGGAUAUUGCACAAUGGGGGGAACCCUGAUGCAGCGACGCCGCGUGAGUGAAGAAGUAUUUCGGUAUGUAAAGCUCUAUCAGCAGGGAAGAUAA
rnacentral:rRNA from 1 species